rnacentral:misc_RNA from 1 species
UGGUUCCAGCAUCGAUGAAGAACGCAGCGAAAUGCGAUAAGUAAUGUGAAUUGCAGAAUUCCGUGAAUCAUCGAGUCUUUGAACGCACAUUGCACUCCUUGGUAUUCCGAGGAGUACGCCUGUUCGAGCGUCAUUAACAAUCAAGUCUACUUGGAUUCAAUUUUGCAUUGCAAUUUUGUAAUGACAUUGGCAUGACCAUUGAUGACUCGCUGGUUAUUGCCUCAACUCUUUUCUAGUUGACCUCGGAUCAGGCGGGGAUACCCGCUGA